UAUGACUUAAUCCUAAACUAUCUUCUACUAUCCUCUACCCUCUUUCUUUUAUAUAUUAUUAUCUUUACAGGUAUCACAAAGGGACCAACAGGACCCAAGUGUGCGUCUUUGCAGCCUGAAUACCUAACCUAACCUAACCUAAGUUUUCAAUAUAUUGUGGUAGUGUACAACUCAAAAACAUGCCUCUAGGAAACACCAUUCAAUAUGGUAGUAUCAUUAUUUUUAUAUACCAGGCUGCAUGCCACUAUACCAUUAUGGUCUAACUCAAAAAUAUCGAUAUCUGUUUAAAUAUCGAUUACUAUGAUCAAAAUAAACCCAAAAUUUUGGACUUACAGUGUUAUUGUAAUGGGCAACAUAAGAGUGAAAGUUACGAAUAGUAAAAACUGAAAUCUAUUGUAUAGGAUGACGUUUUGUAAAGGCAUGUUUUGGAAUUGUAUACCGAUAUAAUAGCGGUUUUCACUCUUGGUGGUAAAGUACCCUUGUAUCCAUGUUAACUAUGGUAGGUAUAUUCUAAAUAAUACUAUUUACAUCAACGCAACAACAAAAUGCACUUAUUUUAAAUAUACAACGCUGUAUUAGAUUUACCAUGAAAAAAGGUCUAGUAUAUAAGCUUGAUAAAUAUAAAACUAAAACUAAAAAAACUAAACAGCUGAUCGUCUAUUCACCAAAAUAUUUUAGACUUGAUUUUUUGUUAUAAAUUGUUCGAUAAAUAUUAAAAAAUAAAAAUUAGUGCAAAUGUAAAAAUAAAAAGAAAACGUGAAAAACUAAACAAUAAAAGAUGGACUGAUGCCGAAAUAAAGCAAUUAUUAGAAUAUCUGCAAGAUCGACAAGAUUUUGAAAAGCCAAAUAUUUUACAGAAAGUUUUUGCAAGUAACAGAGUUAGAUGCAUCUUGGGACAUUGUCCGAUGGAAAGUCAAAAAUCUUAAAUCAAAUUAUAACAAAGCUGAGACUUGGAAAAAGUCGACCGGAGCAGGUUUGCUUGAAGCCGAUGAAGGCGUCUCAUCAAUAAAUUAAGGAAGAUGUGUCGAUUUUACGACGAAUUGCACAACAUUUUUGGAAAUAAAACACCCGAAUUCCCCUUUGAAAUAUAUGACAGUGCGAUUUCUAUUAAUAUUGGGCUUAAUAGCACUCCAGUCACUGAAAGCACAUUAGAUCACCAAAUAGACUUUUGUGGGUUUGCAAAUCUAGAAGAAUACUGCUCAAUCCCAGUCAUACAAUAUACAGGUUCUGUAGACAUAGAAGGUGAAUCCACCGAUAUGCAACCUUCAUCGUCAUGUUCACAGACUUCAGCUUUAAACGAACCAUCUUCAC